rnacentral:rRNA from 1 species
UUUUUUGAGAGUUUGAUCCUGGCUCAGGACGAACGCUGGCGGCGUGCCUGACACAUGCAAGUCGG